UGGGCCCUGAAUCAAGGCUAACAGCUGCAGCUGUUGGUUUCAAACAGGAGCCAAAAGAAACGGUCUUUCUCUGGUCUGUUGAUUAUUUCAGCACUUUGGAAAAAGGAACGGUCAAUUCAUUAGGAAGAAACAUCU
rfam:Erinaceus europaeus unplaced genomic scaffold scaffold00201, whole genome shotgun sequence